CGGCGUGCCUAAUACAUGCAAGUCGAACGCAUUGUGGUUGAAAUGAUAUGAAGAACUUGUUCAGAUUUGAUUUUCAACAUUGCAAUGAGUGGCGAACGGGUGAGUAACACGUGGGAAACCUACCUCUUAGCAGGGGAUAACAUUUGGAAACAAAUGCUAAUACCGUAUAAUAAUUAAAACCGCAUUGGUUUAGUUUAAAAGAUGGUCUUGCUAUCACUAAGAGAUGGUCCCGCGGUGUAUUAGUUAGUUGGUGAGGUAAUGGCUCACCAAGACAAUGAUACAUAGCCGAGUUGAGAGACUGACCGGCCACAAUGGGACUGAGACACGGCCCAUACUCCUACGGGAGGCAGCAGUAGGGAAUCUUCCACAAUGGACGAAAGUCUGAUGGAGCAACGCCGCGUGUGUGAUGAAGGGUUUCGGCUCGUAAAACACUGUUGUAAGAGAAGAAUGACAUUGAGAGUAACUGUUCAAUGUGUGACGGUAUCUUACCAGAAAGGAACGGCUAAAUACGUG
rnacentral:rRNA from 1 species